CUUGCUCCUUGAUUCAGCGGCGGACGGGUGAGUAAUGCCUAGGAAUCUGCCUGGUAGUGGGGGACAACGUUUCGAAAGGAACGCUAAUACCGCAUACGUCCUACGGGAGAAAGCAGGGGACCUUCGGGCCUUGCGCUAUCAGAUGAGCCUAGGUCGGAUUAGCUAGUUGGUGGGGUAAUGGCUCACCAAGGCGACGAUCCGUAACUGGUCUGAGAGGAUGAUCAGUCACACUGGAACUGAGACACGGUCCAGACUCCUACGGGAGGCAGCAGUGGGGAAUAUUGGACAAUGGGCGAAAGCCUGAUCCAGCCAUGCCGCGUGUGUGAAGAAGGUCUUCGGAUUGUAAAGCACUUUAAGUUGGGAGGAAGGGCAGUAAGCUAAUACCUUGCUGUUUUGACGUUACCGACAGAAUAAGCACCGGCUAACUCUGUGCCAGCAGCCGCGGUAAUACAGAGGGUGCAAGCGUUAAUCGGAAUUACUGGGCGUAAAGCGCGCGUAGGUGGUUUGUUAAGUUGGAUGUGAAAGCCCCGGGCUCAACCUGGGAACUGCAUCCAAAACUGGCAAGCUAGAGUACGGUAGAGGGUGGUGGAAUUUCCUGUGUAGCGGUGAAAUGCGUAGAUAUAGGA
rnacentral:rRNA from 1 species